ACGAACGCUGGCGGCGUGCUUAACCCAUGCAAGUCGAACGGAAAGGCCCCUUCGGGGGUACUCGAGUGGCGAACGGGUGAGUAACACGUGAGUAACCUGCCCUUGACUUCGGGAUAACUUCAGGAAACUGGGGCUAAUACCGGAUAGGAAUCCUUGCUGCAUGGUGGGGGUUGGAAAGCUUCGGCGGUUUUGGAUGGACUCGCGGCUUAUCAGCUUGUUGGUGGGGUAGUGGCUUACCAAGGCUUUGACGGGUAGCCGGCCUGAGAGGGCGACCGGCCACAUUGGGACUGAGAUACGGCCCAGACUCCUACGGGAGGCAGCAGUGGGGAAGAUUGCACAAUGGGCGGAAGCCUGAUGCAGCAACGCCGCGUGCGGGAUGACGGCCUUCGGGUUGUAAACCGCUUUCAGCAGGGGCGAAGCUUGUGGUGACGGUACCUGCAGAAGAAGCACCGGCUAACUACGUG
rnacentral:rRNA from 1 species